rnacentral:rRNA from 1 species
AUUGAACGCUGGCGGAAUGCUUUACACAUGCAAGUCGAACGGUAGAGGGGGCAACCCCUUGAGAGUGGCGAACGGGUGAGUAAUAUAUCGGAACGUGCCCAGUCGUGGGGGAUAACGUAGUGAAAAUUACGCUAAUACCGCAUACGAUCUAAGGAUGAAAGCGGGGGAUCGCAAGACCUCGCGCGACUGGAGCGGCCGAUAUCAGAUUAGGUAGUUGGUAGGGUAAAGGCCUACCAAGCCAACGAUCUGUAGCUGGUCUGAGAGGACGACCAGCCACACUGGAACUGAGACACGGUCCAGACUCCUACGGGAGGCAGCAGUGGGGAAUUUUGGACAAUGGGCGAAAGCCUGAUCCAGCCAUUCCGCGUGCAGGAUGAAGGCCCUCGGGUUGUAAACUGCUUUUGUACAGAACGAAAAGGUCUCUAUUAAUACUAGGGGCUCAUGACGGUACUGUAAGAAUAAGCACCGGCUAACUACGUGCCAGCAGCCGCGGUAAUACGUAGGGUGCAAGCGUUAAUCGGAAUUACUGGGCGUAAAGCGUGCGCAGGCGGUUAUAUAAGUCAGAUGUGAAAUCCCCGGGCUCAACCUGGGAACUGCAUUUGAGACUGUAUAGCUAGAGUACGGUAGAGGGGGAUGGAAUUCCGCGUGUAGCAGUGAAAUGCGUAGAUAUGCGGAGGAACACCGAUGGCGAAGACAACCCCCUGGACCUGUACUGACGCUCAUGCACGAAAGCGUGGGGAGCAAACAGGAUUAGAUACCCUGGUAGUCCACGCCCUAAACGAUGUCAACUGGUUGUUGGGUCUUAACUGACUCAGUAACGAAGCUAACGCGUGAAGUUGACCGCCUGGGGAGUACGGCCGACAGGUUG